AGAUAUUUUCCAUCUAGUGGAAGAGCUGAAACAUGCUUCUCUCAAGCCUUCUGAAGGUGGCCAUGGCUUCAUUGUGUUUAGGAUCCAUUAUUGCCCAGAAGGUAACUCAAGACCCACAACCAAUGUUAGUAUGGGAGAAAGAGGUUGUGACCCUGGACUGCACUUAUGACACCAGUGAAUCAAAUUAUAAUCUUUUCUGGUACAAGCAGCUCAGCAGUGGGGCAAUGAUUUUUCUCCUUCGUCAGGAUUCUUAUAACAAGCAAAAUGCCACAGAAGGUCGCUACUCAUUGAAUUUCCAGAGAGCAAGCAAAUCCAUCACACUUGUCAUCUCAGCUUCACAGCUUGAGGACUCUGCAGUGUAUUUUUGUGCUCUGAGAGAGACCACAGUGAGACGCAAGUAG